GUGGGUAUAAUUUAAAUAAAAUACUAGAUUGUGAUUCUAGAAAUAGAAGUUAAAUUCUUCUUACCCACC
rnacentral:tRNA from 1 species